GGGUCAGUAGGUUGGUCGUGCCACCGGUACGUACUGCUCUCACUGAUUCCUCCUUCCUGAAGAACCGUAAUGCCAUUAAUUUGGUGUUGCGGGGAAACAGGACUGUUACUUUGAAAAAGUGAGAGUGUUUAAAGCAAGCUAACGCUUGAAUACAUUAGCAUGGAAUAAUGAAAUAGGACGAUCGAUCCUAUUUUGUUGGUUUCUAGGAUUGACGUA
rnacentral:rRNA from 1 species